rfam:Nematostella vectensis strain CH2 x CH6 NEMVEscaffold_359_Cont24928, whole genome shotgun sequence.
AGAUGGAAUGGCACUCCUAUCAAAAGUGAAAGCACUAAUGUGGAGGUAUUUGGAUGGGAGGAAUUUGAGAGAGG